rnacentral:tRNA from 1 species
AAAUAAGAAGCAAUAUAUUGCAUUUAAUUUCGACCUAAAAGUUAGGUUUACCAACCCUUAUUUU